UAAUACGUACUCCAUAAGUUGUGUCCACUAAUAUUGGGCCUAAAGCGUUUGUAGCCGGUUCAAAAAGUUUUUGGUGAAAUCUGCAAGCCUAACUUGUAGGCGAGCCAAAAAUACUAUUGGACUCGAGGCCGGGAGAAGUCAAAGGAAUUCCUGAGGUAGCGGUGAAAUGCUAUGAUCUUAGGAGGACCACCAGUAGCGAAGGCGUUUGACUAGAACGGGCCUGACGGUGAGAGACGAAAGCUGGGGGAUCAACCCGGAUUAGAUACCCGGUUAGUCCCAGCCGUAAACGAUGCAGACUAGGUGUCCUAGCAGCUACAAGCUGUGGGGGUGCCGAAGGGAAGCCGUUAAGUCUGCCGCCUGGGAAGUACGGUCGCAAGGCUG
rnacentral:rRNA from 1 species